rnacentral:rRNA from 1 species
UAGUAACGGCGAGUGAAGCGGGAUGAGCUCAAAUUUAAAAUCUGGCUGGUUUACUAGUCCGAAUUGUAGUUUAAAGAAGCGUUUUCGGUGGCAGCCUGGGUAUAAAUCCUUUGGAACAGGGUAUCAUAGAGGGUGAGAAUCCCGUCUUUGACUCAGUGCAUGCUACUAUGUGAUACGUUUUCAAAGAGUCGAGUUGUUUGGGAAUGCAGCUCAAAAUGGGUGGUAAAUUUCAUCUAAAGCUAAAUAUUGGCGAGAGACCGAUAGCGAACAAGUACCGUGAGGGAAAGAUGAAAAGAACUUUGAAAAGAGAGUUAAACAGUGCGUGAAAUUGUUGAAAGGGAAACGCUUGACACCAGUCAUGCGAGCGGAAAAUCAGUCUUUUGCAGUGGGGAGUUGUGUGGGUUCGGACCGCAAGGCCGGCCUGCGCUGCAUCUCUGCUGUAAGUGAUGCACUUUUUCGUUUGCAGGCCAACAUCAGUUUCUUCUGCUGGACAAAACUCUUGAGAAGGUGGCAGCUUAGGCUGUGUUAUAGCUCUUGAGCGAUACAGUGGAGGGGACUGAGGUUUUCGCAGCGCGUGCUCUCGGGCAAGGCUGAUUGGGUGCUAUGGGAUCGUUCGGUGUACAAUGCAUGCAUUUUGCGCCGUGUCUUUUCUAUACUCGCUCAACUCGGCUCUUCCGCGCUUAGGAUGUUGGCUUAAUGGUUUUAAUCGACCCGUCUUGAAACACGGACCAAGGAGUCUAACAUAUAUGCAAGUGUUUGGGUGGCAAACCCAUGCGCGUAAUGAAAGUGAACGUAGGUGCGAUCCGCAAGGUGCAGCAUCGACCGAUCUUGAUAUUUUUGGAUAGAUUUGAGUAAGAGCAUAUAUGCUGGGACCCGAAAGAUGGUGAACUAUGCCUGAAUAGGGUGAAGCCAGAGGAAACUCUGGUGGAGGCUCGUAGCGAUUCUGACGUGCAAAUCGAUCGUCAUUUGGGUAUA